CAUGUGAACUACUAAAAGUAAAUCUGCAUGGACUUCUUGCCUGGUGAGUUACACAGAAAAUGAAAGUGAUUAUCAGUGGCUGUGGCAAGAUGAAAGGAACCAUGCCAGGACUUCUGAGGGAAGGAAGAGUGUUUGGGACUGAAAAAUCCUUGUCUGGAUCUAGUCCUCAGCCACUCAGAAGCUGGCAUGCCAUGACUCAAAGAGCCGCCCGUCUGGAAUGAAGACAGUGACCCGUAACUCCCACCUGAAGAGCAGGUGCUUGGAAAAUGCUGCCAGUCCGCAGGAAAAAGUUGUUACUGCUGCUGUCUGUGACCAAGAGGACACUUUAUUUCUUGAAACAACUGGGGGCAAACUGGCUCCCAGAUAAGGCUUCAGUCCCUACUCAUGUGAGGAAACCAGCCCUGGUAGGUUCCAUGCACAAGAAUACAGGACAAGGAGCAGCUUUUUUCACCUCAUGCAACCUCCAGGGAUUUCAGCUUCCUUUUCUUGGAGCAAGAAAGUGAAGUGACGUGGGGAGUCACUAGGAACAAUGUCUGUCUUACUGUGUUUCAUGGAACCUGGAGGUUCCUUAGAGACCCCUCAGAAGCAGACCUAGUGGUCAGAGUAAAAGCUGAGGAGUAAGCUGUGCCUCUCCCUCCCCAGGCCCCAUCCCAACCACAGAAGUUCCACUUGCAUCAGUUUUAUAUACCAGACUAUUGCAUGAAAUUACAUUUUGACAGAUGAUUAUUCUUAAAAAAUAUAUAAAAACCAACAAACUAGGCCAUAUCAAGUCCUGGUCCCUUCUCCAUUAGUGCAGUAAACAAUUCCACCAAGGAAAAUAUAGGUGUGAAAGUGCUUUGCAAACUGUAGAAGGGCAUGCAAAUUCUAGGGGCUGUAAUUAGGAUUAUUCUCCCCAGAAGCGGGGAUUAUUUUGUUUGCUUGCUUCCCGAUAGUUUGGUGAGGGACUGAGGUCAUUUGCCCCCAUACCACAAAUGACUCAUUUCAAAUAACAGACCUGGUGACUUACUGAGUCAAGGUCCACCUUUGGGAAUUCCUGGAUCACCUCUUUGAGCUCCCCUCUCAUCCACUUUCCAUUCUAAAGACACCCUGCCCACACCACUGGUCACACAAACCCUUCCCAAACUCUUAGAUGCUUGAUAUCUGUUGUGUGUUGCACCAUCUUUCUUUCUAAGCCAAACCAUGGGAUGUGGGAAACUGGAAAGGAAACUUGAAUUGAUUUGAGUUGACACGAGAUUACACUAUUUGGGAAGAAUCCAGAAUUCAAUCAGCAGCCUUGGACCGAGAAAGUCCAGGUCUGAGCAUUGGCUUUCCCCCUUAUCAGAGGAUGACUUAACCUCUGGGAGUUUCGGUAAUCCCAGCCACAAAACAAGGGUAAUCAGACCUUUCCCAUAGUUUAUUAUGAGUAGUCAGUGAAAGAAGACAUCAAGACCAUUUCCUGGUGUGCCUGCCUCAUGGUGGGACUCAAUGACCUCUAAGCUACCUGAGAACAGGGACAUGUCCUUCUGGGGUGCCAGCACAUACUCAGCUCUCAGUCCCUAACAUAUACACUGUGCUCCAUAAAUAAGCAUUACAUAAAUGUAUGAGGGACUGUUAUUUUUUUUCCCUCCCAUCAAAGCGCAUAGGGGUGUUUCAGGAAUCACAUGAACUGGUGGGAGGAAACACAUAGACAACUUGACAGUUUCUAAAUAAAUGCAAGCAGUGACAUCCUAUUUGGGGUGACUGGUUCAGGGAGACUUGAGUGCAAACAGAGCAUUACUCACUCUGGCAGACUAGGGUUCUUUGCUGAAAUAUUGGGGACUGAUGGCUUCUGACUGGUAGUAAUAAAUCCUGUUCCUCUCGAGCAAAGAAAAGCCAAAUCUAAACCAAAUGUGAGCAGGAGUGUGAAAUGGAAAGCUGGGAGAUCUUGGGCUGAAUCAUGGAAUUCAAGGAUUACAAAUGCAGCAGGUCACAGACUCUUUUAAAGGGACAAUAUUUAAUUAUUUCACGGGACAGCUUCCCAGAAAAGGAAUGAUCUGGCACAGUAAAGAAAAAAUGACAUUCCAGUUAAACCUUAACUCUUAAAAAAAUUCAUCCUUAGUUCAUAUUCACAGUGUGAAUUCUACACAU
rnacentral:lncRNA from 1 species